AAACGCGGCGCGCGCUCUGGCGAGGCUGCGGGGCGGUUCGCGGGACUCGCGGCGCCGGGGCGCUGCUGCGGGGCGCGAUGCUGUGCGCCCGACGGCUGGGGGGCCUCCGGGCCGGGCUCCGGGCCGGGCUCCGGGUUCGGCGGGUCAGCACCACUUGGUCCCCGGUGGGCGCCGCCUUCAAUGUGCAGCCCCAGGGACGCCAGCUGGACCUGUUCGGCGAGCGCGGGGGCCUCUUUGGAGUUCCUGAGCUCAGUGCCCCAGAAGGAUUUCGUAUCGCCCAGGAGACGGCCUUGAGAAAGGCGGACGAGCUGGUGGAGCGGGUGUGCUCCAUGCCGCCUGGGCCCCAGACGGUGGCCAUCUUCGACGAGCUGUCCGACUCCUUGUGCAGGGUGGCCGACCUGGCUGACUUUGUGAAGCUCGCUCACCCCGAGGCUGCCUUCCGAGAGGCAGCUGACGAGGCCUGCCGGAGCAUCGGCACCGCGGUGGAGAGGUUGAACACAAAUGUGGAGUUAUAUCAAAGUUUGCAAAAAUUACUAGCUGAUAAAAAACUUGUGGAUUCUCUUGAUCCAGAAACCAGGCGAGUGGCUGAACUGUUUAUGUUUGAUUUUGAAAUCAGUGGGAUCCAUCUAGACAAAGAAAAGCGUAAGAGAGCGGUGGACUUGAACGUGAAAAUCUUGGACCUGAGCAGCACGUUUCUCAUGGGAACCAACUUUCCCAACAAGAUUGAGAAGCGGCUCUUGCCGGAACACGUUCGGCAGCACUUUGAGCCGGCCGGGGACCACGUCGUGGUGGACAGUCUGCACGCGGAGGCGCCGGAUGACUUGGUGCGAGAAGCUGCUUAUAAGGUUUUUCUGUAUCCCGAUGCUGGUCAGCUGCAGUGUCUAGAGGAACUGCUCAGCAGCAGAGAUCUUCUGGCCCAGUUAGUGGGGUACCCUACCUACGCCCACAGAGCCCUCCAGGGAGCGAUAGCCGGAAACCCAGAGACCGUCAUGCAGUUCCUCGAGAAACUAUCUGACAAACUUUCUGAAAGAACUACAAAAGAGUUUGAGAUGAUGCGAGGGAUGAAAAUGAAACUAAAUCCUCAGAAUUCCGAGUUAAUGCCCUGGGACCCCCCCUACUACAGUGGUGUGAUCCGCGCAGAGAGGUACAACAUCGAGCCGAGUUUGUACUGCCCGUUUUUCUCCCUCGGAGCGUGCAUGGACGGCCUGAGUGUCCUGUUUCACAGGCUGCUGGGGAUUUCACUCCACGCGGAGCAGCCAGUGAGGGGAGAGGUGUGGUGCGAGGAUGUCCGCAAGCUGGCUGUGGUUCACGAAUCUGAAGGACUGUUGGGGUACAUCUACUGUGACUUUUUCCAGCGAGCAGACAAGCCCCACCAGGACUGCCACUUCACCAUCCGCGGCGGCAGGCUGAAGGCCGACGGGGACUAUCAGCUCCCGGUCGUCGUGCUCAUGCUGAACCUCCCCUGCCCCUCGAGGAACUUACCGACGCUGCUCACCCCGGGGAUGAUGGAGAAUCUUUUCCACGAGAUGGGCCACGCCAUGCACUCUAUGCUGGGCCGGACACGUUACCAGCACGUCACUGGGACCAGGUGCCCCACGGACUUUGCUGAGGUUCCUUCUAUUCUGAUGGAGUACUUUGCAAACGACUACCGAGUGGUUCACCAGUUUGCCCGACACUAUCAGACGGGGCAGGUGCUGCCCAGAAGCAUGGUGUCUCGUCUUUGCGAAUCCAAAAAGCUCUGCGCCGCGGCCGAUCUGCAGCUUCAGGUGUUCUAUGCCGCUCUGGACCAGGUCUACCAUGGGCAGCAUCCCCUGAGGAGGUCGACCACGGACAUCCUCAGGGACACCCAGGAGAAGUUCUAUGGCCUGCCGUACGUCCCGAACACGCUCUGUUCCUCUUCAGGUUCACCUUCUUCUCCUGGAGGCGUGGUGGCCACCAAAAGGCCUGGCAGCUGCGCUUCAGCCACCUCGUGGGCUACGGGGCCAAGUACUACUCCUACCUGGUGUCCAGGGCCGUGGCCUCCCUGGUCUGGAGGGAGUGCUUCCUGCAGGACCCCUUCAACAGCACCAGCCUCUCGAGUCCUACUCGCGUGGAACCUCAUUUCUUCUCUGUGGCCCACAGAGGACCUGACUGCUCUGCCCUUGGGAGCAGCACCACUGGCUGCUUUACCAGACAGCGUCCUGUUUGUUCUGUCUCUGGAAGGUUUUCCUCCCCAGGAGGGCCUUGUGGGACCCUGGCAGGACCUGCUCUGGGGGCCCUGGGGCCGCCCUGCCGUGAGGGUUCAGACCUGGCCCCUCAGGAGUGUCUGGGCGGCCUCCUGGCCUCCCAAAGCGUCCACGUACAAAUCCCAGUGGGGAUGGGGGGGUUCUGGUGGGGACACCCAACGCCCCUCCCAUCCCUGCAGUGGGGGCACGACAUGCAGUGAGGGCUGGGGAGAGAGGCCCAGGGGUCCUUGAUUCCCUGGACCUCAGGCUCCCGCUGCUCCUCCGUCAGCAGGACCAGGACAAGUUGCACUUUGCUGAGUCCUUCGAAGAAGCCUCCUUGGAAAGCAAACCCCUAAUUACGAUCUGGCCUAACAGUCACCUGAAACACUCCUCACCACACAGACACUGCAGACAACCCCUCUGGGCAACCUCCCGUGCGCACAGGGUUCAGGGUUCAGGGCACCUGAGGUUGCGUGGAGUGCAGUCUCCAGGCUGAAAGGCCACACCUGGGAGCCAGCCAGGAACUGGAGGCCGGGAGCAAGAGUCUGACUGCGGGGAGCGGAGCUGUGGGGCGCCAGGAGGGGCACGGACGGACCCCCUUCCAGCCAGAGGUCAGGCAGGGCUCUUGGCUGCCUGGUCC